GACGAACGCUGGCGGCGUGCUUAACACAUGCAAGUCGAACGGAAAGGCCCUGCUUGCAGGGUACUCGAGUGGCGAACGGGUGAGUAACACGUGGGUGAUCUGCCCUGCACUUCGGGAUAAGCCUGGGAAACUGGGUCUAAUACCGGAUAGGAGCCAUUUUUAGUGUGAUGGUUGGAAAGUUUUUUCGGUGUAGGAUGAGCUCGCGGCCUAUCAGCUUGUUGGUGGGGUAAUGGCCUACCAAGGCGGCGACGGGUAGACGGCCUGAGAGGGUGGACGGCCACAGUAGGACUCAGAGCCGGCCCAGACUCCUGCGAGUGGCAGUAGUGGGGAAUAGUGCACAAUGGGCGAAAGCCUGAUGCAGCGACGCCGCGUGGGGGAUGACGGCCUUCGGGUUGUAAAAUCGUUUCGCUAGAGACGAAGCUUUUUGUGACGGUACCUAGAUAAGAAGCACCGGCUAACGACGUG
rnacentral:rRNA from 1 species